ensembl:lncRNA
AUGACGGCAAGUGGCGACGCAGACAUCGAGUCUCUUCGGAAGAGGACUUAUCGGCCGCUGGACGUUUUCCUCUUGGUGUCCAUCAUUUUUCUCUUCAUGGCGAUGGCGGCCGUCGUCGCGGCCGUAGUGAUCGCUGACAAACGGCGCGAGUGUUUCGACCUGCAGGGCAAAGGCGACUCCGGUCAAUCUGCUUAUAAGAUGGAGAACUUUGUGUAUCUGGACGCAAAAUCAAGUGAUUUGACGAAUUCCACCAUGCCCUGGGAGGUGGUGGACUACGGCGAGGGGACGUCCAAAGGAAACCUCUUUGAAUUUAACCAAAAACAGAACGCUCUGCAGACCAAACAGGCUGGCAUGUACUUCAUAUACGUUGUCCUCAACCUCACCUGCACCCACCGGGACAACUGCACCCCAGGGCGCCUCCACGUGCAGGUGGGUGACAAGCUCACCUGUGAAGUGGAGCUUCAGUCUGAGCCACGCGUGACCAAGAAGUGCUGGACAGUGAGUAAAGUGGAGCGCGAGAAGCUGCUCACUCAGAUGACCGUACCCAAAACUGGACUGACCAACUGGAAACUGGAACUGAAGGGCUCGGGAUUGGGAAUGUUCCUUGUGGAUUAAGGUGGACGCUCUGGUGCCGCGACAUUCACCGGAUCUGGUCUUCACUAAAAAAAAAAACAACACAACAAAGAUUUAUUCCAAACUGAGAGUUGAGAAUAAUCUUUUAAAAAAAAAACCAACAGACUGUAUAGAAUAGCGAACAGAAUUUGUAAAAUAUUUAUUUGUUGAUAUGGAACUAUUUAUGUAUUUAUAGAACUUCACUUGUGUUUGAAUGUAGGUAUCACUACAUCGGAGUUAAUGUGCAAUAGGUGGAGUGUUUGAUUGCUCGGAGGUUUAUGUUGUAAAGCUCAUGUUUUCUUGAAUUUCAACGGUUCAGUUUAAGGUAAAAUGGGACGUUUACUGUAAACAAACAUCAAGACGUAACAGGAGAAAACGGCCAAAAGAAGGUUGAGCACUCAAUUUUUUUCAAAAAUUAUACUUCAAGUGUAUGUACCAGUCCUGUGGACUAACUACAAAAGCGAUGUACUGGGAGCAGUUUUUAAAAAUCCUUAUGAAACGCAGAUACGGUGAAGUAGAAGGCUUGAGUAAACGAGAGCAGGUUGGAAGUUUCAAGCGGAAAGUAUCGAAGCCGUUCGGGGAAAGGAAAGUUCUCUGAUGCUCAACCAAUUCUGGAAAGUGGAUUAACUUAAUUUCCUUUUGAGGUUUAAGGGAAAAUUACUGGGCCGGCAAACCAUCAAGGUUACACUUCCUGUGGCAAAGAACAAGACGAGCGACGACAAGUUCUGCUUUGAGCGUUUAAAAGUCCAGCCUCUGUCUGUUUCUGUGUGCGUGCUUCUAUGCGUAAAGUGAAUGUUUCCAAAGAUUUUUUUUUUGUUGAAUGGCCCCUUGGGGACGAUCCCCACACAGACAACAUGUAUAAACUGUCCUAAAUGUCACUGACUUUUGCAGUUCAUUAGAGAUGGAUGUACAGGUCUGUUCUGGACAAAGAUCCUCUUUACACCCGUUUGAUGGAUUAAACAGGAAAAAACACUCUCUUCUUACAUGUGAUAUGUUUUUACUGAGUCCUGAUGGGAGCUACCUUCGACAUGCCAACAUCUAUACUUCAGUGUCUCCUUCAGAGUCCACAGUUGCUCUGACGACCAGAUUGACCAAAUUACCCCCUCGGCAUUAAUUAAUUUCUCUGACGAAACCCCAGUUUUAGUAGUAGGUUCAUUCUGAUUAUCGCAUUGGAGAAUUGCCCAGACUUUAUCCUCUCCUCCUUUGUCUGGACUGAUACAGUAUUUUAAUAUCCUAUUUACCUUAAUGCCAACAUCAAGAUUGCAAGAAGGACUUCCCCUCUUUCUUUUGAAAUCUGUUCAGGUGGUAAAUAGAAAUAAGGGAACGUGACAUUUAGACCCGCGACCGGUCAGCAAAAGUAACGGCUACUUUUCUUUCUUGCAACAUGACUCGUGCACACGGAACCGUGCACCGUGCCGGAGGGCGCAAGGCCCAAAUCUCACCAUGUUGCCUGAUGAUUUCAGUCGUGCACAGAUGAUUACGUGCACCACAGAAGAUAACCCAAAUCUUUUCUUAGCAUCUGAAGCCAGUGGAUGCAAAUUUACCUUCCUAUCUAUUUGUUCUUUCACACCAUUCAUGUAUCUUUUUUUACGCUUUAUUCAUGCACAGGUUCCCCUUCUAACUUCCCCCUCGAGCACCAGAUUCUCACCCUUUGUCUGUGCCUUUUUUUCCCCUUCUCUGCAACACACUGGAGUGCGUCUAAAACGUUUCCUAGCACAUCAUUCGAAGAGAUGAGUCAGCUACAUGAAGCUCGAGUAUAUUCUACGCCAUCCUCCUGCCCUCUGUGCAUCCUCACUAAACCACAUCCUGCUCCACAUGCAAAUAAACACAUGUAUACACACCCACACAGCCUUUGCAGAUGUUUAUGCAUCUCAAUG